UCUCUUCUUUCUUUCCUUUGUUCUUCCCCCUUUUUUUCUUGUCUUUCUUUUGCCUUUUUUUCUCUUUUUUUCCUUUUUUUCUUCUUUCCCUUUUCUUUUCCUUUUGUCUUUUUUCUCUUCCCUCUUUUCUUUCCUCUUUUCAUCACUGUUUUCUUUUUCUUUUUCUUUCCAUUUUUCUUUCCAUCUUUUUUCUCUCCAUUCUUCUCUUUCUUCUCUUUCCUUUUUUCUCUUGUUUUCUUCUUUCCUUUCUCCCUUUCCUCUUCUUUCCAUUUUUCUAUCCUUUCACCUCUCUCCUGUUUUUCUCUUUCCUUUUUCCUCUCAUAUUUUCCUUCCUAUUUUCUUUUUCCUUUUAUUUUCCUGCCUUCUUUUCUUUCUUUGUUCUUCUUUCCUUUGUCUCUUUCCUGUUUGCCUCUUUCCUUUCUUCUUUCCUCUUUUCUUUCCCUUAAUUCCCGUUCCUUUUGGGCUCUUUUCUUUUUUCUUUCCUUUUGCCUUUUCCUUUUCUUUCUUUCUUUUCCUUUUUCUUUCCUUUUUUUCUCUGCCUUGUUUCUUUUUUGCCGCUUUCCUUUCACUUUCCUUUAUCGCUCUUUUCCUUCCUUCCUUUCAUUUUCUGUUCUCUUCCUUUUUUGUGUGGCUUUCCUUUUUCUUUCUUUUCUCUUUCCAUUCUGCCUUUCCUCUUUUCUUUCCAUUUUUCUUUUUGCUCUUUCCUUCUCUUUCCCUUUUUGCUUUCUUUUUUCCCUUGUCUUUGUUUUCUUGCCUUUCCCUUCCUUUUGCUUUUCCCUUUUUUCUUUCCUUUUUUCCUGUUCUUCUUUCUCCUUUUGUUUCUUUUUGCUUUCCUUUUUUUCUAUAUCCUUUUUUCUCUUCCCUUUUUUCUAUACUCUCUUGUCUCCUCAUUUUUUUCUCUUUCCUUUUUUUCUUUCCUUUUGUCUUUCUCAGUUCUCUCUUUCCUUCUUUCUCUCAUCUUUUCAUUCCUUUACUCUGUUUCUUUUUAUAAGGCUGCUGCCAAGGCCUUUUUUUCCCUCUUGCCUUUUCUUUCUUUCCUUGCCUUUUCUUUCUUUCUUUGUUUUUCUCCCAUUUUUUCUUGUCUUUCCUUUUCUAUCCUUUUCUUCCCUUUUUUCACUUUACUUCUCUCUCCUUUUUCUUCUCUUCCCUUUUCUCUUUGGUUCUUUCUCUUCCUUUUUUUCAUUUCCUUUCUCUUUCCAUUUUCUCUUUCCAUUUUCUCUCCUGUUUCUUUCCCCGUUUCUUUCCUUUUUAUCUCUUUUCUCUCUUUCCUUUCUCCUCUUUCCUUUUUUUCACUUUUUUUUUCUAUUUCUUUUCUUAUCUUCCCAUUUUUAUUUUCUUUCUUUUCUCUUUCCUUUUUUUUUUCUCUUUCCCGUUUUUACAGAUUAG
rnacentral:lncRNA from 1 species